CAAGGAUAUGUAGUGAUAUAUGUCCGGUUCAUCAGAAGUCAGCAGAAGCCAUAGUACCUUUUUUUUUAGGGAAGGGC
rnacentral:ncRNA from 1 species